GCGAGCGGCGAACGGGUGAGUAAUGCAUCGGAACGUACCCCUGUGGUGGGGGAUAGCCCGGCGAAAGCCGGAUUAAUACCGCAUACGCCCUGAGGGGGAAAGCGGGGGAUUCUUCGGAACCUCGCGCCAUUGGAGCGGUCGAUGUCUGAUUAGCUAGUAGGUGGGGUAAAGGCUCACCUAGGCGACGAUCCGUAGCUGGUCUGAAAGGAUGAUCAGCCACAUCGGGACUGAGACACGGCCCGAACUCCUACGGGAGGCAGCAGGGGGGAAUUUUGGACAAGGGGGGCAACCCUGAUCCAGCCAUGCCGCGUGAGUGAAAAAGGCCUUCGGGUUGUAAAGCUCUUUCAGUCGGGAAAAAACGGGGUUCUCUAACAUGCGGACUUAAUGACGGCUCCGUCAGUGCAGCACCGGCGUAACUACGUGCCAGCGCCCGCGUUGAAUACGAAUGGUUGCGAGCGAUUAAUCGUCAAUUACUGGGUUGUAAAGCGCUGCGUCAGGCGAACUGUGUACUACAGGCUGUGAAACUCCCCGGGGCUUACAGCUGGGAAACUGACGUCUUGUAACUGCACAGUCUAGAUUCCUGGCAGUAGGGGGUGUGAA
rnacentral:rRNA from 1 species